rnacentral:snRNA from 1 species
GUUUUGACUUAGGCAGCACAUAUACUAAAAUUGGAACAAUACAGAGAAGAUUGGCAUGGCCCUUGGGCAAGGAUGACAUACAAACUGUGAAGCGUUCCAUAUUCUU